ensembl:lncRNA
UCCUUUAGAUUAAAGGUUAUGAUUUUGAGUGUGUUUAUCUUUAACUUGUACUCCCAGGACCAUAGUUUAGCCAAUCUAAGGUCCUUGAGGAUUUUAUCACUUCGCAAAAUUGCAUUUUUGGUUCUUUCCCCAUAUCAGCUGUACACCUUGAAUGUAGAUCUGACAGUAUGGUAAUAAGUGAAAUGAAAACGAAGAAACAAAAAUAGAAAUGUUUACUUAACCCCAAAUUAAAUUUAAAUUUAAUUAAAAUUAAAUUUUAAAUAGAAAAUGUCCUAAGAACAGGCAUAAACUACGACACAUUUUAAUACCGUGUGUGUGUGUGUGUGUCAGUAUUGAUAUAUAAGGGAAUGGGGUGAUUAACUUAAUGGAUUAUUAAGGUCUUACACUUCCCUGACUAGGUAAGUGUCCACAGUGGAAAAAAUGUUUAGUCUGAACACCAAUUAAAAAAUGAAAAGUGAUAAUAAUUUCCCUCAAGUAUUUUUUGAUAGCUUCUCAAAAGAUGGUCCAUGGUUUCUGCUUUACUACUCCAUCACGACUUUGGUUUUACCAAUCACUGAUUUUGAAAUGGAGGGUGCAUGCAUGCACACAUGUGCACACAUAUGUGUAGAAAAAAUUUCAUAAAGUGAGAAAAUAAUCUCUUUGUGCCUCAGGACUAGCUAAUUUCAGCUUUAGUAUGAAUGGGCUUUUGGGCAAAUCCAUUUGUUAAGACACUGAGGAAAAUAUGACCUUUGUUAUUAUUUAGAACUGAAGCUAUACCAUACAAACAACAAAUUCACUCCCUGGGGGAAAAACAGAAAAGGGAAAGAAAAAAGACCCACAGAUAAAUUUACAGGUUUUGUGUUUUGCUGUUUUAUGAUUUUCUUAGUUGAAAUUACAGUUUCCUUUUUCCACUUUUCUACACAGCCCAGAAGAUGGACAUUUGGCAAGCCAUAAUAGACUGCUCCUUUCCCAGAUGAGGAGAACAAGACACAGACUGAGUACCUUGUUCACUGUCCACAGCUGGUCACGGAAGGACUUAAGGGUUAGAAUCUGAGCUGGGCUACCACUUUUAUUUUCUGAUUCUAAAAGGCAUACAUUUAUUUAAAGUAUAUAAGAAUACAGAUAAGUGUUUAAAUCAUUUCUAAUUCCACCAUCUAAAUAUAUCCGUUGAUAAUAUUUAUCAUUCAAUUCCUG